UGCAAGCUGCCUCACACUCUAAAUAUGAAAACUCUCUGCUUCUUUGGGAAUUUCGGAGUCUCAAAGUUGGUAAAUCUGCUAAAUUC